rnacentral:lncRNA from 1 species
AUUUAUGAAGAAGGGUCUUUGUGCUUUGCUGCACACUUUGACACAGGUCAUUUUUUAAAGCUGUAAACAGUAUGCCUGCGCUGUUUCUGGUGCCAGGCCAAGUCUCAUCACAUGGUUUCAUCUGAUCGCCUGACUCUAUUCAAUAGAUCAGAUGGCUGACGUACUACAGAGACUGAAACUGAAGGGGGGUGUGUGUGUCUGGGAUGACAAAGCUUCCAGAUGCAGGACUGGGCUUGUCCUUCCAGCCUCACCCUCUUUCUAAAUCUCAGGGCUGGUCCAUAGGCUCUGCUGUGGGGUUCUGUUCUCUGACCCUGUGUGGACCAGUGAGGAUAGAGUUUUUGUCGUUUAUGUGUUUUUUAAAAAGGCCUUGUUGAGAUAUAAUUCACCCAUUUACAAUAUAGAAUUUGGUGGUUUUUUUUCAUAUAUCCAGUUAUGCAAUCAACUUUAGAACAUUUUGUUGCUUGUUUGUUUGUUUGUUCUUAGCUAUAGUUUUGCUAAAUGUCCAAGGCUAGUCUUGAACUUGCAACUCUACUCCUUUCUCAGCUUCCUGAAUCUGGGAUUAUAGACAUGUGUGGGCUGACUCAAUUUUAGAACAUUUUCGUCAUCCCCAACAGACAGCUUUUAUACAAUCCUUUCCUGCCUCUCUUACCUUCUUCUCUCUCUCCCUACCUCAGUCCUAGGCAAAUCCACUUUCUAUCUGUGUUGGAUUUGUUUAUUCUGAACCUUUCAUGUAAGCCGAAUUGCACAAUAUAUUGUGUGGCUUUCUCCACUUUGCAUAACGUUUUCAAGAUUUAUCAAGGUAGUGGAAUAUAAGUAUCUCAUUUCCUUUUAUGGUUAAGCGUACACUGUCCUAGUUCUUGUUUCCUGCCGCCAUGAUGACAGAAGCAACUUUAUUCAGCUUACAAUUCCAGGUUAUACUCCAUAAUUGUGGGGAAGUCAGGGUGUCAAGAUCCUGAAAUAGCUAGGCAAAUCCUCAGACAAGAGCAAACAGAAGGAAUGCAUGUGUGUUGUAUGCAGCUCGUAUUCCCUCUCAUAUAUAGCCCAAGACCCAAACAGCUCUUCCAACAUCAAUGUAAUCAAGACAGUCCUGCACAGAUUUGUCCAAGUCCAAGCUAAUCUUGGCACUCCCUCAUUAGGGCUCUCUUCCCAGAUUAUCAGUCUCUUCUAGAUUGACAGCUGACACUAUGACAUGAAUAAGCUAUGUUUUGGUUAUUUUGCUUAGGCAUUGUUCAUUAGUUGUUGAACAUGAGUUGAUUUCAUUUCUCAUUUUUUUGUAAAUGUGUAUAUAUGCCUGUGUGCUUGUGUGAGUUUAAUGUGUACCACAUGUAAGAACCCUUGGAGGCCAGAAAGGCCAUCCAAUUCCCUGGAACUAGAGUUACUGGUGGUUGCAAACUGACAUGUGGGAGGUGGGAACCAGACCCAGGUCCUCUUCAAGAGCAUAUAAAUGCUCUU